rnacentral:rRNA from 1 species
AGCGAACGCUGGCGGCAGGCCUAACACAUGCAAGUCGAGCGGGCGCCUUCGGGCGUCAGCGGCAGACGGGUGAGUAACACGUGGGAACGUGCCCUCUAGUUCGGAACAACCCAGGGAAACUUGGGCUAAUACCGGGAUACGCCCUUCGGGGAAAGGAAUUGAUCGCUAGAGGAUCGGCCCGCGUCUGAUUAGCUUGUUGGUGGGG